rnacentral:rRNA from 1 species
AGCUAACGCGAUAAGCAUACCGCCUGGGGAGUACGGCCGCAAGGUUAAAACUCAAAUGAAUUGACGGGGGCCCGCACAAGCGGUGGAGCAUGUGGUUUAAUUCGAUGCAACGCGAAGAACCUUACCUGGUCUUGACAUCCACAGAAUCUUGCAGAGAUGCGGGAGUGCCUUCGGGAACUGUGAGACAGGUGCUGCAUGGCUGUCGUCAGCUCGUGUUGUGAAAUGUUGGGUUAAGUCCCGCAACGAGCGCAACCCUUAUCCUUUGUUGCCAUCGGUUAGGCCGGGAACUCAAAGGAGACUGCCGUUGAUAAAGCGGAGGAAGGUGGGGACGACGUCAAGUCAUCACGGCCCUUACGACCAGGGCUACACACGUGCUACAAUGGCGUAUACAAAGGGAGGCGACCUCGCGAGAGCAAGCGGACCUCAUAAAGUACGUCUAAGUCCGGAUUGGAGUCUGCAACUCGACUCCAUGAAGUCGGAAUCGCUAGUAAUCGUGAAUCAGAAUGUCACGGUGAAUACGUUCCCGGGCCU